rnacentral:misc_RNA from 1 species
AAGUCGUAACAAGGUUUCCGUAGGUGAACCUGCGGAAGGAUCAUUAACAAAAACUAGCGACUUGAGUCAGCGCUCAUGUCGCCUAUGUGUUAAACUCUCUGUGUACCUCUACCUUUGUUGCUUCCCGUCCGGGCUCGCCCCCGGGCGGGGAGGUAAACCGAAACUCCUGUAUUUCUUUGCAGUCGGUUAGAGCGUUAAUUCGCGACAAUUAAAAGUUAAAACUUUCAACAACGGAUCUCUUGGUUCUC